GGGUCUGCACAGAAAAAUUAUAUGCUACUUCUAUUUAAGCCCUAACCAUGUGCUACGUAUUCCAUGGCCAUGACUGGUUACUAAGCCUGAUUCCAGCUUAUGUGAAGGAGGACACCACAGCUCAGAGGGACACAGUGAGGACACUACAGCUUGGGACUCACUCAGGCUGCCACUUUCUCCAGCCCAGCCUCCAAGUGCAGAGACUCCGCAGCACGCCAAUGAAAUUGAUUUAGUGGUUGCCAUACAUUCUCUCCCCAGCCUGGAGCAGCAGAGAUUUACAGCUCCUGCCGGGCAGCCCCUCCCUGCUUCCUGUAAAUCUCCCACCACAUUUGGGGCGGCUGCAGCUAUUUGGGUAACCUUUAUCUGAACCAGAACUUCCUCGCCAGGAACUUCAGAGGGUACCUCCAGGAAGGACGGGAGAACCCCAGGGGCCGACUUGUUUUGGGGCGGAUUCCAUGCCUGCUGAGGACAGCUGCUCCACAGGCAUUGGGCAGAAAACAGUUCUUCUUUGAUGCCAUGACUGCCUUUGUGGGGAUGGCGUGAACCCCCAAAGGAGCAUUUAGGGUUUAUGGAGGGCGUGUGGAGAGGCAGCACGCUAUGAAGCCUGCAUGUCCAGCUCCUGGAAAUAAGCAUGGUGAGGGGCAUCGUCAGAGGCCAGAUGCUUCAGAUGGAAGCCACAGUAGUAUGUAGUAGACUGAAAGUCAGACAUGUCUCAUCAGUGUUAUAUUUACAUCAAGGUGUCAUGGUCUGGUUCCCAGCCUGAAAUCCCAUAUCCAUCAGACCAGAUCUUUCAUUAUUCUUGGAUCUAUCCCCAGCAUUAAGAACCACACCUGGCUCCUAGUUAGGUCUUGAUAAUCGGGUUAGGAGAGCGGCUGCGAUCUCUGGCCAGAAGGAGCAAACUGAAAUUGCUUCAGUAAACAGCUCAGUGGAGAGCAAAGCCGGGCCUCAUUAAACCACAAUUAGAAUUUCUGCUCCAGCUUCAAGGGAACUCCGUUUGGGACCCAAGACUGUUUAUUUGAAUAAGGCAGAGGCUGGGGAGGCGAGUGUGGAGAGGCGGAGGCGGAGGUGGAGGUCAGGCGGCGGGCGUUGGAUCUUUCUGUCAUUCUGGACACUUGGAUAAUGGGAAACCUUUGACCUCAGCCCUCCCAGAUCCCUGGAUUCCAGAACCAAAUAACUACAGGCCAGCAGUUUUGAAUCUCCCUCAAAUGACUAAUUAAAUGGGAUAAGGUGAGCUAAAGAGGAAAGAGCUUCCUUAUGGGGAAUGGAAUUAGGAAAACUUUCAGAGAAGUCAGUUGGAAGGAUUUUUGACAGAGAAUCAACCUGGUCAACAUCAGACUGUCAAUAAAUCUCUGUUCAGUGAGUGAGUGAGUGAGAA
rnacentral:lncRNA from 1 species